GAUGAAGAACGCAGCGAAAUGCGAUGAGUAAUGUGAAUUGCAGAAUUCAGUGAAUCAUCGAAUCUUUGAACGCACAUUGCGCCCCUUGGUAUUCCGAGGGGCAUGCCUGUUCGAGCGUCAUUACACCACUCAAGCACUGCUUGGUAUUGGGCAUCGUCCGUCGAAAGGCGGGCGUGCCUCGAAGACCUCGGCGGGGUUUCUCCAACUUCGGGCGUAGUAGAGUUAAAUCGAACGUCUUAUAAGCUUGGUGGGACUCCAUUGCCGUUAAACCUUUUAUUUUCUAGGUUGACCUCGGAUCAGGUAGGGAUACCCGCUGAACUUAAGCAUAUCAAUAAGCGGAGGA
rnacentral:misc_RNA from 1 species